rnacentral:rRNA from 1 species
AUUGAACGCUGGCGGCAGGCCUAACACAUGCAAGUCGAGCGGAUGAAGGGAGCUUGCUCCUGGAUUCAGCGGCGGACGGGUGAGUAAUGCCUAGGAAUCUGCCUGGUAGUGGGGGAUAACGUCCGGAAACGGGCGCUAAUACCGCAUACGUCCUGAGGGAGAAAGUGGGGGAUCUUCGGACCUCACGCUAUCAGAUGAGCCUAGGUCGGAUUAGCUAGUUGGUGGGGUAAAGGCCUACCAAGUCGACGAUCCGUAACUGGUCUGAGAGGAUGAUCAGUCACACUGGAACUGAGACACGGUCCAGACUCCUACGGGAGGCAGCAGUGGGGAAUAUUGGACAAAGGGCGAAAGCCUGAUCCAGCCAUGCCGCGUGUGUGAAGAAGGUCUUCGGAUUGUAAAGCACUUUAAGUUGGGAGGAAGGGCAGUAAGUUAAUACCUUGCUGUUUUGACGUUACCAACAGAAUAAGCACCGGCUAACUUCGUG